rnacentral:rRNA from 1 species
AUUGAACGCUGGCGGCAGGCUUAACACAUGCAAGUCGAGCGGGGUGAUGGUGCUUGCACUAUCACUUAGCGGCGGACGGGUGAGUAAUGCUUAGGAAUCUGCCUAUUAGUGGGGGACAACAUCUCGAAAGGGAUGCUAAUACCGCAUACGUCCUACGGGAGAAAGCAGGGGAUCACUUGUGACCUUGCGCUAAUGGAUGAGCCUAAGUCGGAUUAGCUAGUUGGUGGGGUAAAGGCCUACCAAGGCGACGAUCUGUAGCGGGUCUGAGAGGAUGAUCCGCCACACUGGGACUGAGACACAGCCCAGACUCCUACGGGAGGCAGCAGUGGGGAAUAUUGGACAAUGGGGGGAACCCUGAUCCAGCCACGCCGCGUGUGUGAAGAAGGCCUUAUGGUUGUAAAGCACUUUAAGCGAGGAGGAGGCUCUUUUGGUUAAUACCCAAGAUGAGUGGACGUUACUCGCAGAAUAAGCACCGGCUAACUCUGUGCCAGCCGCCGCCGUAA